UUUCUAGUUCUUCCUCUUCCUCCCACACUGCCCUCACCUCUUCCUGUCCCACUGAAUCGAUACCUGCAGGUGGCAGCGAGAGGUGGACUUUUGGAAAGAGAGCUUCUGCUUACAGGACGGGAACAACAAACCAGGACGGAACACUCUUAAGUACAAUGCCACCUGACCUGCUGAGUUCCUCCAGCGUUUUGCGAGUGUUGCUUUGGACUUCCAGCAUCUGCAGACUUUCUUGUGUAUGUACAAUGAACCUACCCUUAAUCUACAAUGAGAAAGAAACUGAGAGUACUGACGUAGUACUAAGAAAGUAACCUACUGUGAUGCUGCCUGACUUGCUGACUUCCUCCAGCAUUUUGUGUGCUACCGUGAAGCAUCUUGGAGAUGCUGACUGACCUGCUGAGUUCCUCCUGCAUUUUGUAUAUGUUACUCUGGAUUUCCAGCAUCCGUAGAAUCUCUUGUCUUUAUGCAAGGCUUUGUCAAGUGCCUUACUAAAGACCGUAUAGACAAUGUCUAAUACCUUGUUCGCAUCAGCCUUCUUCGUUGCUUCCUGAAAAUCUCCAGCUGGGACUUUGAGGUCAAUGAGGUGUAAUGGCUUUACUUUGUACAUUCUAGUUUAAAUACAGUAAUGUACAUGGUUAACUGACUAUGGAAUAGAGUUCCUUGCCUAUUCAUUCUUUUGACAGGUUAUUUGCCUGAAACCUGGUGUACUGGAAUAAAUUUUGUUCUUUGAAUAACAGUGCUUGGUUAAUCUGUUUAUAUUAACAACAUAGAACAGUACAGGCCUUGCAGCCCAUGAUGUUGGGCUGACCGUUUAACCUACUCUAAAUUCAGUCUGACGUUGCCCAUACGCCUCCAUUUAUCUUUCACACCAUGUGCUUGUUUAGGGUCUCUUAAAUGUCCCUAAUAUAUCUGCCUCUACCAUCACCCCUGGCAAUGCAUACCGGGUGCUUACAAUUCUCUGUGUGAAAAAACCCACCUCUGGCAUCUUCAGGGACAGCCGUAACCCCAGCAGAUACUCAGGCAAAACCCUCAACUGUCUGCUGCCAGAGUCAUGAAUGGCCAGCGUUGUCAGGCCCAGGAGCAAGUUAACCAGGAGAUCCCCCGAAAUGAGGACGUGACCUGUGUACUCUUUGUGAUUCCGUCAGAUCUUUAUUUCUAGUUGCAUAACUAGAAAGGACGAGAUGGCCUGUUUCUGUGCUGUAAUUGUUAUAUGGUUUAUAAAGGGUGUUUAUUUGCUGCAUCGGGGUGUUCCCAGCUCUCAAAGAUAUAUGAAUAAUCCCAUUGGUCCAUUGAUUUCCCUGGAUUUUCUCUCAAAAGCUCUCCCAACCACACUAGAACCUCCCUACAGUAUCCCAGUAGGCCAAGCAGCAUCUGUGCUGGACGGAGAGGGUUGAUACCCUGCUUCGGGUCUGAGGUGGAGAGGGAAAUGUCCAGUAUUAGGAUCAUAAAACCGUAAGACACAGUCUUGUGGUUUGGGACUUCAAAACAUAAAACUAAUGAAAAGAAAGCAUAAAGCUGGGAAUAACUUGAGUAUGAUUAGUUUUUUUUUACUUAAGGCAAGCAAAUAUGUAUGACAUGAUGGUGCAUGCCAUUCAUAUAUUCUUAGAUAUAACCUCCAAUUAAAUAUGUGAACAACAAAGAAUUUUCAAUCAAAUAAUAUAUUUGCAAUAUUACUGAAAUAUUAAAUAAACUAUACUCCUCCUUGCUUAGCUAUAAACGCCAACUCAAUACAGAAUGGCCACACCUAGGUGUGCAGCAUGUAGCUCCUCCAACACAUCAGCUCUCAGCUUGUAUGGCAGAGCAACUCACAAUACCAGCAUGAGGUAACCCCCAUCAAGGGCAAGUUCAUCCCAGCGCCGGUAAAAAUGGGAGAAUGUUCCAGCCAUUUUG